UUGAAUCCUGUUCCCCCUUAAUGUCAUUGAUAACUCGAGAAACUCCCAAAUUUUUGUUUCUAAAUAUCUCGCCAAUGAUUCUAAAUCUGGAUCCACUAGUCGCACCACUCUUCAAUCCUCCAACCACGCCAUUCUCCAAACCACUGCUAGUUUUCUUGACCAUAUAAGCCUUCCGCCGCUAUCUAUGCUUGACAAUCAUCCAAGGACCGAAGCAUUCUUCCUGCAGUUGCCCCUAUAGUCUCGGUUCUACACCUCGUGAUUUUUCCUCCCCCCUCCAGUGUUGUUUCCUGGCUUGACUUAUGUGGACAUUCUUCCUGGGAAUUCCCAAACCUUCCACAAUCGAGGCAAACCAUGGGAUGACAUUGGUCUGACGAGAAGGUUGGCAUCCACUAUUGCACAGUGAGAUAAUGUCCAAAUCAUCCAGGGACCCCCGGACAAAGCAUUAAGAUCGAAGUCUUCGUCCUUCUAAUGAUUCAUUGUUCCAACCGUAGUACCCAUUAACUUUUCUUUCCACGUCACAAAAGCUGUGUUAAUAGCAUCCACUUUCAUGCCCUUGUCAUCCACCGCGGGAUUGUCAAGAUCUGGCGGCUUUGCCUACCGGCAUCGUACCUUCUUGAGUGAGUGUCUUAUGCCCUCUCCUGGAGACGUUAACAUCUUUUUUUUCAACCUAGAAACACAGAGUCAUAACUUAAUUCUUUAAGUUCCAUAUUCAUGAUAAUAAGAUAGUGACAUAAUAUUUCCACAAUAUUAACUAUUUUCAUUUAUAGCGUUGAUGUUAAAGAGAAUUAAAUAUGAUUUAGGUUUUGAGCAUUAAAAUUGAAAUUAAAAUAAUAGAGUUGGUAGUGGUACAAAAUGCAUGUGCCUUCAAUUUUCAUAAUCUUAAAGACAUCUUUUCCUUA